ensembl:lncRNA
UUUAGGACAAAGGCUGACUUUUAAUACAAAUGGUUUUAUUAUCAUACAUUUCUUUAUCCAUCCCUGGGUAGGACAUGAGGUGGAGGGGGGAGAGGAGUAGAAGGGGGAAGAGAGGGAGAAGGGGGGAGAGAGAAGGGGGAAGAGAGGAGAGGGGGAAAGAGGGGAGGGGGAGAGAAGGGGGAAGAGAGGGAGAAGGGGGAGUAGAAGGGGGAAGAGAGGGAGAAGGGGGAAGAGAGGGAGAAGGUGAGGGGGAGUAGAAGGGGGAAGAGAGGGAGAAGGUGAGGGGGGGAUAGAAGGGGGAAGAGAGGGAGAAGGUGAGGGGGGGAGUAGAAGGGGGAAGAGAGGGAGAAGGUGAGGGGGAGUAGAAGGGGGAAGAGAGGGAGAAGGGGAGGGAGGUAUAUAUGGUGCCUUACUGUGUGUGGCUUUGGUCAAAAGUAGUGCACCAUUAUAGGGAAUAGGAUGCCAUUUGAGGGUACAUCCCCACUGUGUAGUAAUAGGAUCUUCUAUGUUAUUUACACUGUCUCUCACUCACACUCCGCUCAUAACACACUGACUAUAGCACAGUGAUGAUAUAAGAGACCAGAGAUAUGCUGGGAAAGUAACAAAAAGCACCACACAUGUUGUACGUCUGACUGGUACAUAGUUACUGUACAGGAAAUAAAGGAAUCGUUUUCCAUUGGAAUGUCUUAGUUCCUCGACGGCCAAACGCUUCCAUUGUUUAACAGAAGCGUCUGACUAGAUGGAUCAGUGUGUGUGUGUGUGUGUGUGUGUGUGUGUGUUCAGAGGCUUCUGUUGGCUCCUAGAUGUAUCUGUGUGUGUUCAGAGGCUUCUGUUGGCUCCUAGAUGUAUCUGUGUGUGUUCAGAGGCUUCUGUUGGCUCCUAGAUGUAUCUGUGUGUGUUCAGAGGCUUCUGUUGGCUCCUAGAUGGAUCUGUGUGUGUUCAGAGGCUUCUGUUGGCUCCUAGAUGUAUCUGUGUGUGUUCAGAGGCUUCUGUUGGCUCC